GCUAAAGUCAACAGUCGCUUGGUUUGAGCUCAAAUAAAUGCAGGGAUGCCUCGGCUCGGAGCAGUCGGCCGCCUCCCUCCGCUCGCUGGACGCUCCGCCACCCUCCCGCCCGACUGCCUGCCGGCUGCCACAGGAACCGCUGGAUAAAGACCAGCUCAACCAUGGCUGAGAAAAUAGACCCAGGCUCCCCAGAGCGGUUAACCCGCCUGCCUCUGGGCAAAGACUAAAAAGAAAUCCUCACAAUGGGAUGGAACCGCGUCUCAGUACUUGCUGUUCGAGUCAGUCUGGAGUUUCUAGGAAAGCUGCCACUGAAAUUCUCCGCUAACUAGACUGAUCUUGCUUCAAAUUAUUUGGACAUGGAUGCUUAUCUUUUUUAUUUUCAAAGAAAAGAAAAGCAAAACAAAAAGAAACAACUGCAAACAGCCCCCAGUGUGUUUCCUACUGACCUUUUUCCUCGGAGGAAAGCAAAGGGAGAGAACUGGCUUCACCAGUGUUCCUUGGCUUCAUCCAUUCACAGAUUUGCUUAUUGACAGCUACUGGAACAAAAAGAUGAGAUGGAUAAAGCACACUAAUUGUCCAAAGGGUCUCCUGUGACUAAAAGCAUGUGAGUUGCUCCCCGGGCUGAGCUUUGACCCUCCCAAGCGCUUCCCCAAAGGCCAUGACACUGCAUCGGAUUGCUUCUGAACACUUUCCUCAGAGUUUUCAACAAAUAUAAACUCAGGAAUGGAACACAGAACGAGACUUGCUUAUCAAGAGGCAAUGGUCACAGCCCAAAUGGGUGCUGUGCAUGAUUCAGGGCUCAGGAGAUGGGAAGUGGGUACAGGAACGUUGGGAGCUGCAAAAUUGUGCUGGAGCAAUAGACCAACAGCCAUUAACAUCUGUCAAUGCAAAGACCUUAAAUACACAAGUGUAGAUUUGUCCUGCCGUCAGAACUGAAGCUGUGACAGUCACACUGCCAAGGUAGAUAUUCAAGCUCCUCUGAGGUCACUGAAACUUACAAUGAAUUAACAAUGAAGAGUAGAUAAUUUUUGGAAAUCUCUUUCUAUGACCAGAAAAUAUCCACAAACUCAGAGUGAUUGUUUGGGGUGAAAGAGGGUCCCAUGCCUUGUGGGCCUCUCUUGGCUGAUGUAUACAACAUUGGGAAUAAACCCCUCCCUUACAGGAAGGUGACUAGCAAUGAAAGUGAGCCCACCCUGGGAGGGCAGAGUGGGUGUACGUUCCUCAAAGAGCACUGAACACAACAGGACACACAAACAGCCAGGGCACCCUCAACAAUGCCCCACCAUCUGCCCACCAGGUCACACAGAUUCAGUGACAUAUUCCUCAAAAAAGGGAAUUAGGGAGGACCCAUGACAUGGCCAAUGUGGAGAGAGCCUUACUACUGUUAGCGCCAUUGCUAAUGAUUGGAGCAAAGAAGGUCAUACAAGACCCAGCAUGUUUAAAGUAACAAAUGUCAACCCUAAAGUGCAUGGAGCCUUCUCUCCUUCCCUUUUGAGGGCUCUGUGCUUCACAAGCUGGGCAUUUGCUGCAUGGGGUUUUCUAAUAUAAUGUGAAUUUUCAAUGUGCUUUAUCUCUGUAGAGUGGCUUUAAAAAGCCCUUGAAGUCCUCAGCUUUAAAUCCAUGCUAAUAGGGGAAGUCUUUUUUUUUUUUUUUUUUUUUUUUAAUGGAGGUUGGGAGCUGUGGUUGGGAGAAACAUUGACCCAGACUGCACUCUGGGUAAACUGGGGCCAAAGACCUGAUACCAUCUGCAGGGUACUUAUUAACCACUGUUCAUCUGCAGGAUCAAUAUUUCCAGCAAAGGAGUCAACACUCAAGAUAUACUGCUACGUCUCGCUUUUUCCUUGACACAACAAUUUAUUUUAUAAAUGCAUCUGCUGGAGAGGAAAAGGCAGCACCAAGGAUUGUGUCUUUUAUCUCCAGGAUAUGCAAAGCGCAUUUAUUUUCAGCUUUUAUCUCCGGAAUUGUAUGUUGAUCCCAUACAUAUAGAUUGAUUUUGUUCAGGUAGAUAAUGAAAAGUCAAGUGGAAAAUUACACAGUGGCACUCUCGAUCCUAGUCUUAUAUCGAAUCCUAAUGAAUAAAGGUUGCUGGACUCAGGGUAAAAGCAGGAUGAACUGGAGAUGGGACACACCAGGUACUUUUAUAAUUGCUUUAGAUUACACCUACAAUCGAAAUAAAUGUCAACAAAUAAUCAAAAUAUCUUUACAUCUGCUUUUUAAAAAUUAGAGCCUAUUUUAAACAUAAGAGAAAGUAGAUGUGACAAUGAUAUAAACUACAGUUACAUUAAGUUGAUAUGAAAGUCAAAAGCUGACACAGGUGUGCACUGUGGGUGUGUGUUCUGACUUGAUGCUUAUUUUGGGAACCAGGCUACAGUGCCUAAUUCUAUUGUAAUGUGGUCAUUUAGCUUGAAUUGUUUUAUAAGGUGAAAAGGCAAAAAGGUUAAUUCCAAAGAAAACUAAUGGUUUACUAUUAAUGCAUUAAACAUUUCAGAAGCCCACCUGUGGGAAAUACAAAGUUUUAAUGCUGUGUGUUUUUUUGUUAUUUUUAUUUUGUCUUACUGACAAAACUGGCAGAAAAAAAAAAAAACUUUCAUAUCUUUUUCCUGCUGGGUGGUCAGAAGGAAAGGCCAUGAAGCUAAAGGCGUCCCAUUGAGACACUGCUCUGCAAAGACGGACCUCACGUGCCGCCGCCAGAGAAGAGAGCACCUGUUCAUCUCGGCUCACUGUAAGGCUGAGCUCAGCGCUGGCAGGCGAGGGACCGCACGUGCCCCCGACAGCCACAGAGAGGGCUUCCCUGCAGGGAAAUCACAUCUGAGGUGCCUGUGCCCAGACCAGAUUUAAGACAGCCUCGAACAUGUCUACGAAGCCAUUGUCCAGUAGAGCUGUUAGUUUUAAUGCCAGUGAGUAUCAUCUUUGAUUAAAAGGAUGAAUGUAUAUAGGGGUGUGUGUGUGUGUGUGUGUGUGUGUGUGUGUGUGUGUGUUUGGACUUGUGUGUGAUGUAGGGAAAAGGUGUGGAGAAUUAAGAAAGGGUUCCAUUUAGGCAUUUGCAAAUAUUCCAUGGCACCAUGAAAAGACAAAAAAAAAUCCUGUAAAAUAUGUCAUAUUUUGCUAUGAUUUUGUGUGUACAUGUAAUAAAAUUGUUAAGUAUAAA